rnacentral:lncRNA from 1 species
UUUACUUGUGUGAGUGAUUGUUUCUCUUUCUUCCAAUAUUAAUCCAUUUGCAUUGGUAGUCUUUAAUCUUUUCCCUUGCUUUUACUUUUACUCUCUCUCUUUGUCUCUCCAUGUACAAUUGAUCAAAACACUAUGUGCAAUCCUCCUUUGGCCUCUCCAUGUGCGUUUGUGUGCAUGUUCUUAUCAUCACCUGUGAUCUUUGUUCACCUUUCUUAUUGUAAUAUUUUCAACUUCUGUGUCAUUUUCAAAAAUUAGAAUUGCAAUGUGAGGUAUAAGCUAAGUUUAAAUUUUCUAGGUAUCCACUUGUUGGAAGAUUCGAUUUGCUUCUAUUUCAUUUAACUUAAUUCCUC